UACGUAGGGAGCAAGCGUUGUCCGGAAUCAUUGGGCGUAAAGCGCGCGUAGGCGGCCUCGUAAGUCCGUUGUGAAAGUCAAAGGCUCAACCUUUGAAAGCCGAUGGAUACUGUGAGGCUAGAGUCCGGAGGAGGCGAGUGGAAUUCCUGGUGUAGCGGUGGAAUGCGCAGAUAUCAGGAGGAACACCAAUAGCGAAGGCAGCUCGCUGGGACGGUACUGACGCUAAGGCGCGAAAGCGUGGGGAGCAAACAGG
rnacentral:rRNA from 1 species